rnacentral:rRNA from 1 species
GGCCUCAUACAUGCAAGUCGAGCGGUCCUUCGGGACAGCGGCGAACGGGUUAGUAACGCGUGGGAACGUGCCCUUUAGUACGGAAUAGCCAUUGGAAACGAUGAUUAGUACCGUAUACGCCCCAAGGGGGAAAGAUUUAUCGCUAAAGGAUCGGCCCGCGUUAGAUUAGGUAGUUGGUAGGGUAAUGGCCUACCAAGCCGACGAUCUAUAGCUGGUUUGAGAGGAUGAUCAGCAACACUGGGACUGAGACACGGCCCAGACUUCUACGGAAGGCAGCAGUAGGGAAUCUUGGACAAUGGGCGAAAGCCUGAUCCAGCCAUGCCGCGUGAGUGAUGAAGGCCCUAGGGUUGUAAAGCUCUUUCGCCAGGGAAGAUAAUGACGGUACCUGGUAAAGAAACCCCGGCUAACUCCGUGCCAGCAGCCGCGGUAAUACGGAGGGGGUUAGCGUUGUUCGGAAUUACUGGGCGUAAAGCGCACGUAGGCGGAUUAAUAAGUCAGGGGUGAAAUCCCGAGGCUCAACCUCGGAACUGCCUUUGAUACUGUUAAUCUUGAGUUCGAGAGAGGUGAGUGGAAUUCCGAG